AAGAGAUUAAGAAAUACUUCGCAGCGUUUCAAGUGCAUUACAAUAAUGAAGAGGCAUUUCCUAGAGCGCUCUAAUUAUCGAUGGUUUUGGAGACUUCUUUGAUUACACUAAAUGUAAAGAGAAAUAUGGCGGUAAUAUCGAGGUCGAGAUUUAUCUACGGUUCCUACUUUGAUUUCUGUCGUAACGCCAUAAUCCAUGCCCAGUAAGAAUUCCAGCAUUUGAUAUUCAUAUUGACAUUGGCUAUGAUUCACUAACAUUCUUAUCUUGGUUUUUCAUAUUCAUGGCCUGUUUUGUUACGAAUAUUUCACUCAUAUAACAACAACGUCAUCACAUUCAAUGAAUACUUCUUGAAUCCUCAUCACAAGGAGGAGGAACGUGUAGUUGCAAGGUUUAGACUUCGAAUAUUCGUCAUGGGGGCACACCAAGGUUUGGAUUUCUUCAAUUUAUCACUAUUAAACCAGGUGAGUAUUACCAUUUGUUCUUCACAUAUGUCAUUCCAUCAAGAAGAAAGAAUUGGUAUACGGAUAUCGCUGGAACUCCCUAAACUCAAACAGUUGUCUCUAAGAUCCGAAUCAGCUGUUAGAAUGAUUUGGUUUCAUUAAGCAAGGUUGUAUCUAUGUGAUUCCAUAUUUACCGUUCAAAGGUGAUGCAUCUGGGUCAUUUCUACUUACAAUAUUACAAGUAAUACUAGUGGAAGUAUCAGCUCAGAGCUGCCGGUGGCGGCAGCAUUGGCAUCAACAGCUGAAUCAGCAGUGCCAGGAGGAAGAACACCGCUGUUUCGGCAAAGUAUCCAAUAAUUUUAUAGUGUGUCAUGUUGGAGGAGAUUAUUAACUGGAUAAGUAAACUCCAGUUGCUACUUACCAAUACCAUUUAUACGAAUUCAUGUGUCUGCUGCUGUGGAAAAGAGCCAGAGGGUAUUUCUGUCGCAUCACUUUCCUGUUCAACCAUUCUCCCAUCAUUUUGCCAACUGUUGGACUGAGGCAAGCCGCUAGCAUAAUAAGAUUUUGAGGGGAAGAAGUCUUCAAUACCAGAAACUGUCACCCGAUUUGUUAGGGUUUUUCCGAAGACAAUUUUCAGCUACUCGCACCGUCCAAAAGAGUUGGAGAACAUCAUGCGAGUCUAUAAGGUUCUUGUCGAUUAAGUCCGGAUAUUUCCUCUCUUUCAGAAGUGGCCGUGCCUGCAAGGAAGUAAGAGAAUUCCAAUUUUUCUAUUAAUUAGUCUUUUCGACAAGAAAAAGGACAUGAAAAUCUUUUAAGAGAUUAAGAAAAGGUUACAUAUGAUGGCAUGUUUGAAACAGAGAUUUUCUUAUCCUACUAAGACUUUCCUGAAAUUAUUUUGCUACAAUUAAUAGUGAAUAGAACAGUUUCAUAAUUGUUACCCAUCCCACUAGGCUUUUUUCCCCAAGCUUCUUAUCUGUAGUUCUCAGACCUGUUAUCAACUGUAAAAGAACAACGCCAAAGGAAAAAACAUCUGUCUUGGUUGACACUUUCCCACUUGCUGCGUAUUCUGGAGCCAAAUAGCCAAAAGUCCCAACCACCCUGGUCUCUGAUGAGUGAUCCGAUCCUGCAUGUUGUGUUCGUGCCAGCCCAAAAUCUCCAAGCUAAUAUAAGAUGAUCUAAACCUUCAGCAGCUCCAAGAGCUAUUUUCAUCCUGUGCUCCCAACGCAAAGAUAACGUACUAGGGGUAUUAACCUGGUGAAGAACUCCAAGAAGAAUGAGUCUAUCUCCGGGCUUUAGCAACAAUCCGUGCUCAGCCCAUGUUAUUGCACUGAAACUGAUAUCUCUUGAUGCAUCCUGGAUCACCACCACCGUCUGGGAUGUCAUGGUCAUAAUCUUCCUUUUAUGGCAUGAGAUGUUGAAGUUGCAAAGAAACUGAAAACAGGUGAGUAUGGAAAAUUAAAAUCUCUGGAGUUUCUUAUAGGCUUUUGCGGGUAAUGUUUGAUGCAACAUUCUCUGGAAUCUCUGAGGUGUUAGCUGGAAUUUUUCUACUGUUCUUACAUGUGCAAUUAUCUUAGUUGAUAUUUAUAAAACUCAGAACUGAACAGUUCAUACCUUAAAAGUAUGCUGGGGAGUUAAUUUCUAUUUCACUUGUUUGGAUUUACAGAAUUUGACCUUGCAAUAAUAACUGGAUCUCCACUAGACAUACAGGGAUAACAGAUGACAAGGCAACAAAGUUUGUAACUGAGAUAGACGCACAGUGGAAGGAAUCCGCUAAACCAAGGAAACCAAAUAAAAAUUCUAGGCUCAAUUACAAUUACACUUUCGGGUUGGAUAUCUAAGUUUCUGAAAUCAGAGGAAGUAUUUUAGCAACUUCAUUUAUUGAUUAACUUGGUAUUAGUACAACCUUAAGGGUAUGGAAAAAUAUAAGUAGAUUGCAUCUUCUUUAAGUUAAUCUUUUUUAAAACAACUUGAGUUUUCACAAACUUAUAUAAAAGGAAAUCCUUGGUGAUUUUACCAGGACAGGUAGAGAUAGAAAGAGAGAGUAUGUGAAGGAAGUUUUGGUGGUGGUGAUGGUAGAUCCAAGUGAACAUCUCAGAUGCCGGUUCAGCGCAUAUUCGGAUAUUUGAAAGUUGGGUCCUCUUAGUUAUUUGCUUUUAAGUAGGAAAGUUUAUAAUUGCUGAGGUUUCAUUUUGUGAAUUACUAUGCUUUUCUGUUUUGCAACCUUGUAUUAUUCUGUUGAAUUAUUUGCAUGUUAAUACUUAAUAGGACAAGAAAAUGGGAGGCCUUUCUGAUAUGGAACGAAGCUUUUAGAGAGUGCCUGCUCUACUAGAUGGUAGUCCAAGACUGGUCUGUUUCAGUUCCAUUUUGGUCAGUUCUCAAGCAUCUCUUGUUUCUGGUUUGAUUCGGAUUUGUGGUGAAACAGAAGGAAGCCACACUCGGUUGUCGUGAUUAAUAUUCUUUGACUUUGUCCAGUAAAGCCGUCCCUGUGAUUUCAUUGGUAGUCACAGGCCCAACCCAACAUAUAGGUUACCGUCCUCUUUUUCUGAUCUGGGCUUUAAGCAGUUAUAACCGUCAUUGAUGUAGAAUCUUAUAUGUGAAAGAAACCUAUUUUGAGGCAUACUCAUUUUUUUUUGAGGCAUACUCAUCCAUUAUAUUAUCUAGGGUGGGUUUAUAAGG